GGACAACGACCACAUUUACGCAACAAAGUCCCUCAUUUGAAUCCGGAUCCGCGUGGCCACUGGGGGGCGCGCGCCUCCACGUGGCCACUGGGGGGCGCGCGCCUCCGCGUGGCCACUGGGGGGCGCGCGCCUCCGCGUGGCCACUGGGGGGCGCGCGCCUCCGCGUGGCCACUGGGGGGCGCUGGAGGAGACUCGGCUCGAAGCAGGAAGUGUCGCGGGCGGUUCUGGGCUGUGGCUGACGUGACCUCUCCCCCUGUCUUGAGAGGCUGUCCCUCGGACCGGCCCGGUGGCCCGGCAGCUGUGGUUGCCAUGACGACCGCCGGCGCCCAGGGGCUGCAGCGGUGCGUCCUGCAGCUGUGCAGCUUCUUCUCGCGGUGCGUCUGUGGACGUCUGCGCCGCCACACGCGGCCCAACAGGUUCUGUGUCCACGGUCAGAACUGGUACCACAAACACGUGUCUGAGGUCUGCCGCCGUGCCCGGAGGACCUCCCCCUCCAGGAAUGUGAAACAAAGAUGUGUGAUCAGGAUGUGUGAGGAGGCGUGACGAGAGAACCGGGCGCCACCGUCAUCAGCGCCACCGUCAUCAGCGCCACCGUCAUCAGCGCCACCUUCAUCAGCGCCACCUUCAUCAUCGCCACCUUCAUCACCGCCACCGUCAUCGGCGCCACCUUCAUCACCGCCACCGUCAUCGGCGCCACCGUCAUCGGCGCCACCGUCAUCACCGCCACCUUCAUCACCGCCACCUUCAUCACCGCCACCUUCAUCAUCGCCACCUUCAUCACCGCCACCUUCAUCACCGCCACCUUCAUCACCGCCACCUUCAUCACCGCCACCUUCAUCAUCGCCACCUUCAUCACCGCCACCUUCAUCACCGCCACCUUCAUCACCGCCACCUUCAUCAUCGCCACCUUCAUCACCGCCACCUUCAUCACCGCCACCUUCAUCACCGCCACCUUCAUCACCGCCACACAGAGUUGUGACUGUAACAGAUGCUGUGUCAAUAAAGUUUGGUUGAGUUGAACAAACGCUUCCUGUUUUGGCAUCAUUGUGGCAUUAUCUGGCCCCGCCCCUCCC
rnacentral:lncRNA from 1 species